ensembl:lncRNA
CUCCACAGGGGAAUGGCUCCCUCCCAGCACACUGAGGCACUACCCCGAGGGACAAGAGAGGAAGGUGUCCCAGUGCGGCCAGAAGUGAACCAGGAGAUGGGACUGCUUUAACAGGGCUUGACACUGUGUGACCUUGGAUCGGCUGCUUCCCCUCCCAGGGACUCAGUUGGCUCAGUGGCCAAGGAAGGAGGCAGGACUACAUUCAUGCCACAUGCUUCGGGCUGUGCUUCUUCCUGGCUGCCAAGUUGGAAUCAUGGGGGCCUCCCUCCGCCAGCAUCUCUGGGCACAGAGCCCCAGGCCUCGGGAGUUUACAAAGCCACUCAGGUGGGAGGAGAGCUGCUGCACUCGGCCCCCCAGCACCAGCCUUCCCAGCUGCUGGGUGUGCAUGAGCAUGACUGGGGAGGCGCACACACUGGCGCCAUCCCUGGAGCUGGGAGCCCCUUGUAGCAGGCUGGCUGCUCCAGCCCCACAGCCGGCCUGCUGCCUCCUUCCCAUCCUCCUCCCUCCCUCCCUGGGCAGGGAAGCCAAGCUGCCAGCUGCUAGCAAGGCCUAUUGUUCAGCAGUGACAAGAAGUGGCUGCAGAAGCCCAGGCCCCAGGAAAGGCUCGAGACGGCAUGACUCCAACCUCCAUGACCUUCCCUGAAUUCCAAAGGGCAGAUCUGAACAGUUAACCUGAACAGCUAAUCAAGGGAGGAGUAGCCAAGAAACCACCUGAGACAAGACUACAGGCACCAGAGCUCAUCAAGACUAGAAGACCACCUGAGACCCUGCACAUACCCUAAUCUUGCCAGCACCCCCACACUUGAACUAUUUGCUAUAGAAAUUCCUCAACAAAUCCUCCCAGGUUGGCACACAGUUUUUCCAGGCAGAAGCCUGCUGUGUCCCCCUCUGCCUGGCAAAGCCAUAAGGUUAUCUUUUCUGCUUCACCCAAAAUUCUGCCUCAGAUUUGAUUCAGCACUGAGUUGUAGAGAGGCUGAAAUUUUGGCAUCAAUAUAUGAUGUUUUGUGUAUCCAUUCACCUACUGAAGGACAUCGUGGUUGCUUCCGGUUUCUGGUGCUUUUGAAUAAAGCUACUAUAAACAUUUGUGUGCAGCAUUUUAGUGUGGGCAUGAUAUUUGAACUUGUUUGGGUAAACGUUGAGCAUGAUUGCUGGAUCAUGUGGAAUCA